UGUUGCAGCUGUGGCUUGUGCCCAGCAGGCAGAGGCUGAUGUUCGAUCCUGUACCCAGGUGCUGUUGACAGCAGUGACAGGCUACAGCCUCUGCAGAAUGGUCUGCACGAGGAUCUGGGCUCCCCAGAUGCUCUUAGAGUCAAAAGCCCUGGAAAUAGGAUUAGUGCAGGUUGUCAGUGGAUUGUUUACUUCAUGUUCUGAUGGGGAAAUGAUUGUGGACAAAGGUCUGCCUAGUUUGGCCCCCUCCCAGACCAGCUUGUGAUUAUGCUGUUUCAUUCCAGUGGUCUGCUUCUGGGGACUUGUUGGCCUAGAAGAGACAGUGUGGGGUGGGGACUGCUUUUCGUUUUAUUUAUCUCAUUGCCCUUAGGCAGUGAGUGGCCACUCAAGCCAGCUCUUCUGAGUAGUCUCUAGGAUCCUAGGAAAGGGAAAGGCUGAGCAUGGGGUGUGGGGGUUCUUGUGAGGUCAGGAGGAAUGUGACAUACCAGAGCACAACCAGGGACUGCCAGAGAAGGCUGUGAACAGAUUGACAUAGGUUGGCCUGGAAUACAUGCGCUGGGCAGGAACCUAUUACCUUUGAUUUAGGUUGUCAGAUAAAAUACAAGACGCCUGCUUGAAUUUGAAGUUCAAAUCAACAGUGAAUCAUUUAUUAUAUAUUGCAUCUUAUAUAUGGAAAAUAUGUACAAAAUUAUCAUUUAUCCAAAAUUCAAAUGUGACUGAGGGUCCUAUGUUAUUUGCUAAAACUAGCAACCCCAUCUUGAUUGAAGUCAAACAUGGGUUCUGAGGCCUGGUAACAGGAUGGAAAAGGCUUUAGUCAACUAUCAGAAAAACCACCAGCAUAAACUGCCAAGUCUGAGCCACUUCGUGCAGAAAGCUUGGAAUCUCCCCCAGGCCUCCAGCAGCAGGAUCACCUGUGACUUGGCUCUGGAAACCUUGAGGAAGCAGCCUGGUGGCCAAUCUGGCAAAGCCAACAUCGGACCCCAGUCCUGAAUGGCCACUGCCAGGCAUCAGGAGGCACUAGGCUCAUCAGAGCCCCUCACUUCAUAGACUACAGGCUGCAGCAAGAGGAAGCAUCUGGGUUCUUUUAUAGCAAAACACCAAAAAGGAAGCUGAGAGAAGCACCCCCCCACUUUAGUAGC
rnacentral:lncRNA from 12 species